GAACGCGAAGAACCUUACCUAGGUUUGACAUGCUUGGAUGCUUGCCUGGAAACAGGUUAAGCUGCUCUUCGGAGUGAAACUUGCACAGGUGCUGCAUGGCUGUCGUCAGCUCGUGUCGUGAGAUGUCGGGUUAAGUCCCUUAACGAGCGAAACCCUUGCCGUUAGUUACCAGCGGGUCAUGCCGGGAACUCUAGCGGGACUGCCGGUGUUAAACCGGAGGAAGGUGGGGAUGACGUCAAGUCAUCAUGGCCUUUAUGCCUAGGGCAUCACACGUGCUACAAUGGCCGGUACAAAGCGACGCGAGACCGCGAGGUGGAGCAAAUCGCAAAAAGCCGGCCCCAGUUCGGAUUGCAGGCUGGCAACUCGCCUGCAUGAAGUUGGAAUCGCUAGUAAUCGCGGAAUCAGCUAUGUCGCGGGGGAAUGUGUUCCUGAGCCUUGUACACGGCCGG
rnacentral:rRNA from 1 species